rnacentral:rRNA from 1 species
GAUGAACGCUGGCGGCGUGCCUAAUACAUGCAAGUCGAGCGAACGGACGAGAAGCUUUCUUUUCUGAUGUUAGCGGCGGACGGGUGAGUAACACGUGGAUAACCUACCUAUAAGACUGGGAUAACUUCGUGAAACCGGAGCUAAUACCGGAUAAUAUUUUGAACCGCAUGGUUCAAAAGUGAAAGACGGUCUUGCUGUCACUUAUAGAUGGAUCCGCGCUGCAUUAGCUAGUUGGUAAGGUAACGGCUUACCAAGGCAACGAUGCAUAGCCGACCUGAGAGGGUGAUCGGCCACACUGGAACUGAGACACGGUCCAGACUCCUACGGGAGGCAGCAGUAGGGAAUCUUCCGCAAUGGGCGAAAGCCUGACGGAGCAACUCCGCGUGAGUGAUGAAGGUCUUCGGAUCGUAAAACUCUGUUAUUAGGGAAGAACAUAUGUGUAAGUAACUGUGCACAUCUUGACGGUACCUAAUCAGAAAGCCACGGCUAACUACGUG